rnacentral:rRNA from 1 species
UACGUAGGGUGCAAGCGUUGUCCGGAAUUAUUGGGCGUAAAGAGCUCGUAGGCGGUUCGUCGCGUCUGCUGUGAAAACUGGGGGCUCAACCCCCCAGCCUGCAGUGGGUACGGGCAGACUAGAGUGCGGUAGGGGAGAUUGGAAUUCCUGGUGUAGCGGUGGAAUGCGCAGAUAUCAGGAGGAACACCGAUGGCGAAGGCAGAUCUCUGGGCCGUAACUGACGCUGAGGAGCGAAAGCAUGGGGAGCGAACAGG